rnacentral:lncRNA from 1 species
UUUUGAAACCCGGCCCGGCCCGGCGGGUCAACCCGGGACCCGGCCGACCCGGGCCUGUGGCCGGGCCGGGUUUAAGCAAAAAACAGGCUGGGAAUUGGCCCGGUGAGACCCGGACGACCCGAAGGGUCGACCCGGGACCCGGCCGACCCGGGCAAACCCAGCUGAGACCCGGGUUAUACAUUCAUGAACGAAACGAUGUCGUUUUCAACUUUUACAAUUAAAAGGCCAAAUUCCAAAACAAGAAGAGCAGAUGAACGAACAACACAGUGUAGAAGACCCAAUUAAUUUCAAACAUAAUUCAAGAAAUCUUCAAACCCAUUUCAGUCGCGAAGAAGAGCAAAGGAGCAGAAGACUCUUGAAUCCUUGAUCGCUGUUUCAAAUCCGAGAAUAAGGUUAGAUGAGCUGUUGUUAACGAGGUAAGAAACUGUAAAUGAGUGUUGAUUUGCAUUUCCAUUGCUUUUGCUUGAUGAGAUAUGUCUAAGAGAUGAAGGGGGUUUUCGAGAAAAUAGUGUUGUCUGGGAUUUGUUGAAGCUCUUCCAGAACUCCCUAACAUUCUGCAUGUGGAUUCAAACAACAGAAAUGAAGCUUGAGGAAUACAAAGCUACUUACCUCUCUUUCGAUUUUGAUUUACAGCUCUGCCUCUACACGUUUAGCCAAUCCUCUUCUAGACCCACAAACCAAUCCUCUUCUGUUUCUCUUUUCUCUAAGAUAAGGUGAAAAGGUCACCAAAACGUAAAACUUUGAAAUGAUUCUUGGCCAUAAAGUGAGGCUUUUCCAUGAAAAUUAUAAGCAAUCAACAGCACAGAUGUUGAUGUCCUUUGUUCUUCUCUUUAUUCAAUUUGAAGAUAGUUUCAAAUCCGUUACUUUUAUUUCAUUCUACUUUCUCGCUGGUUUUUUUUUUUGGGGUUGACCCGGGUUAACCCGGGUCAACCCAUCUGACCCGUGACCCGAUCACUAGACCGGGUCAAUGACCGGG